rnacentral:lncRNA from 1 species
UGAUCACGCCACUGCAUGCCAGCCUGAGUGACCGAGCAACAGAGUGAGACACCAUCUCUUACAGAAAGGAAAAAAAAAAAAAAAAAAGCGGGGGGAGGGAGAGAGAGAUACACAUUAGUCUAAAGUGGAUUUUGUUGGGUCUUCUUAUCUAAGCUGGAAAUACAUUAUGCAUAAUUCACUUUCCUGCAGCGUUCUGGAUUAGAGUCAGCCACCAGAGGCGUGCAUGCAUUACGAUUUGGAAGGCAGAAGUACACCGGCACUUAUUUUCCUGUCACACUCGAAUGCUGGUGCGAGGCACCAGGCAUACUGCGGCUGUUCAAGCAUAUUGACGCCGAUAUUCUGACUCCUUGUGGAAAUGGAGCCGCAUCCUGCCUUGCAGAGCAUCAGCCAGAUCUUGUUUUUUUACUUUCUCGGAAUCAUGCAGGCAGGUGCGGCUGCUGGAGCAGGGAAUGGGCCUGCCGUUUAUUUAGCCCCUAUCAGCUUCCUAGCUCCAGCUGCUCUAAUUGCAGGGCUAGGCGUAUGUUUAGCUCUAUGGCAAGAGCCUCCAGCUUCUCCUGCAUAUCUCAAACCUCAUCAAAAGCUGGCAGCUUGGAGGUAGUGAGACACAGAGGAGAGAUCCAGUUCAUCAAGGUGGAGUUUUGCUCUUGCUGUCCAGGCUGGAGUGCAAUGGCCUGACCUCGUCUCACCAGAACCUACUCUUCCCAGGUUCAAGCCAUUCUCAUGCCCUGCCUCAGCCUACCGAGUAGCUGGGCUUACAGACAUAUGCCACCACACCCGGCUAAAUUUGUGUUUUUAGUGGAGACCAGGUUUCUCCAUGUUGGUCAGGAUCGAACUCCUGUCCUUAGAUGAUCUGCCCACCUUGACCUCCCAAAGUGCUGGGAUUACAGGCAUGAGCCACUGUGCCCAGCCUUGGACUUACAUUUAAAUAUGAAAUUAGAUCAAUAAAGCAUUUAGAAGAUAACACAGGGGAAUAUUAUAAGGAACUUGCCAGUAGCACCCUUCUUUUUUAAACAGAAUAAAAAAACAUUACAAAAAAAUUACCAGCAAAUUGGACCAUGUGAAAGUCAGUAGAUCUAGUCAUCAAAGAUCACAUUAAGACUGUGAAGAAUCAAGCCACAAGAUUAAAGAAACAUAGACAAUGUAAUAUUGACAAUGUUUUAUUUGAUAUUUAAUUUUUCUAAGAAAGUAUUUAAAAACAUUUCAAAAUAACAAGAAAAAGAAGACAAACAGCUCAAUAAAAAAUAGGCAAAGGCUUGAACAGGUGCUCAUAUAAGUGUCUUCCCAAUGAGUCCUAAGCUUACCAAAAGAUGUUCAAAGUUAUCAGUCAUCAAAGUGCAAAUCCAAACACAAUGAGACAUGUACCAGUGGCAUAUCUACUAUUAUUUUUUUUCUUUUCAAAGCACUAAAAUAAUCAAGCAUUGAAAACAUAUAGAUCAACUUAAACUCAUAUUGUCCUAUUGGUAAAAUGGGAAGUUGUAAAUAAAUAUUAGAAAAUGUUUUGCAGUAUCUACUAAAUUUGAACUAUGCAUUUACUAUGACCCAGAUCUUUUAGUCCUAAAUAGAAAUGCUUACAUGUGUUCAUCAAAGGACAUUGACCAGAGUGUUGAUAGAUGAUUAAGUCAUUAUAUAUCUAAACUAGAAAAAAAAUAGUCCGUCAUAAUUGAAUGUAUAAAUAAAUCCUAUUAUAUUAAUAUGAUGGAAAUCAAUUUGAUAAUGGAAACCAACUAUUAUUUGAAUCACUUAAUACUUAAAAAAGGCUUAUUGAUAACAAAAGCUAUAAAAUAGUAAUAAUAGUAAUAGCAACACUGGCAUGUUUCUUAAUUGUGAUAUGUUGACAUAAUCUAGGAAACUCUUAGAAACUCAGUACACAGAAACAAUAAAAUAAAAUUUUAAUUUACCUUUUAUGUGUCAGUAUAUACUUU